AACUACUCACUGAAAGAGACAACAUUUUGGUGGUGGUGUUCUUAUAUCAGUCAGGGACAGAACAGAUGGUCGUCCUUUGUUCUUCCUAGCUUGAUGCUUGGCUUGGUGGCCAAAGCUGUUUUAUGCCUAGGACUCAUAA